rnacentral:rRNA from 1 species
GGAGGUUGUGCCCUUGAGGCGUGCUUCCGGAGUUAACGGCGUAAAUUCGACCGCCUGGGGAGUACGGCCGCAAGGUUAAAACUCAAAUGAAUUGACGGGGGCCCGCACAAGCGGUGNAGCAUGUGGUUUAAUUCGAUGCAACGCGAAGACCCUUACUUACUCUUGACAUCCAGAGAACUUUCCAGAGAUGGAUUGGUGCCUUCGGGAACUCUGAGACAGGUGCUGCAUGGCUGUCGUCAGCUCGUGUUGUGAAAUGUUGGGUUAAGUCCCGCAACGAGCGCAACCCUUAUCCUUUGUUGCCAGCGGUUCGGCCGGGAACUCAAAGGAGACUGCCAGUGAUAAACUGGAGGAAGGUGGGGAUGACGUCAAGUCAUCAUGGCCCUUACGAGUAGGGCUACACACGUGCUACAAUGGCAUAUACAAAGAGAAGCGACCUCGCGAGAGCAAGCGGACCUCAUAAAGUAUGUCGUAGUCCGGAUUGGAGUCUGCAACUCGACUCCAUGAAGUCGGAAUCGCUAGUAAUCGUAGGUCAGAAUGCUACGGUGAAUACGUUCCCGGGCCUUGUACACACCGCCCGUCACACCAUGGGAGUGGGUUGCAAAAGAAGUAGGUAGCUUAACCUUCGGGAGGGCGCUUACCACUUUGUGAUUCAUGACUGGGGUGAAGUCGUA